rnacentral:rRNA from 1 species
AGUGGCGAACGGGUGAGUAAUAUAUCGGAACGUAUCCAAUAAUGGGGGAUAACUAAUCGAAAGGUUGGCUAAUACCGCAUACGCCCUACGGGGGAAAGCUAGGGACCUUCGGGCCUGGCGUUAAUGGAGCGGCCGAUAUCUGAUUAGCUAGUUGGUGGGGUAAAGGCCCACCAAGGCGACGAUCAGUAGCUGGUCUGAGAGGACGACCAGCCACACUGGAACUGAGACACGGUCCAGACUCCUACGGGAGGCAGCAGUGGGGAAUUUUGGACAAUGGGCGCAAGCCUGAUCCAGCCAUUCCGCGUGAGUGAAGAAGGCCUUCGGGUUGUAAAGCUCUUUCGCAAGGGAAGAAAACUUAUCCUCUAACAUAGGAUGAGGUUGACGGUACCUUGAUAAGAAGCACCGGCUAACUACGUGCCAGCAGCCGCGGUAAUACGUAGGGUGCGAGCGUUAAUCGGAAUUACUGGGCGUAAAGCGUGCGUAGGCGGUUCGUUAAGUCAGAUGUGAAAGCCCCGGGCUCAACCUGGGAACUGCAUUUGAAACUGGCGGACUAGAGUUUAGUAGAGGGGAGUGGAAUUUCAGGUGUAGCGGUGAAAUGCGUAGAUAU